rnacentral:rRNA from 1 species
GUGGGGAAUAUUGGACAAUGGGCGAAAGCCUGACGCAGCCAUGCCGCGUGAAUGAUGAAGGUCUUAGGAUUGUAAAAUUCUUUCACCGGGGACGAUAAUGACGGUACCCGGAGAAGAAGCCCCGGCUAACUUCGUGCCAGCAGCCGCGGUAAUACGAAGGGGGCUAGCGUUGCUCGGAAUUACUGGGCGUAAAGGGAGCGUAGGCGGAUAGUUUAGUCAGAGGUGAAAGCCCAGGGCUCAACCUUGGAAUUGCCUUUGAUACUGGCUAUCUUGAGUAUGGAAGAGGUAUGUGGAACUCCGAGUGUAGAGGUGAAAUUCGUAGAUAUUCGGAAGAACACCAGUGGCGAAGGCGACAUACUGGUCCAUUACUGACGCUGAGGCUCGAAAGCGUGGGGAGCAAACAGGAUUAGAUACCCCGGUAGUCC